AAAAAAACGACUAAAACCUAAACCGAAAAAAUAAAUUUUUUGUUGGUUUGAUUUGGUUUAUAGUUUUAAUAAACAAACAUGAUUGGUUUGAUUUUAUUUUAGUAAAAAUUGAACCAACCCGACCCAUGUACACCCCUAGUUUUUACAGUUAUUAAAAAGGUAAAAUACGCAUGCAAUUCAUUUACAAAUUUUGAUUCCUUGAAAUUUCUGGAAAUAUUUAUUUUGAACUAUAGUUUUCGUAUUGUAUAUUCAAUAUGCAUGCUAUGUUGGUAUAUGAUUUUCACAUUGAUGCACAUGUGGUGUUUGAUAAUAUGUCUGAAACAUUAAUUUCUUAGUAGUUUUUUCAAUGUCCUAGCAAAAAAUUGAUUCCAAAAUUGAUGAAAUGAGAAAAAAAGAAUGGCAAAAGAACAAAGAGAACAGGCGAUACAUAGCAAAAUCGACUUCAAAUUGAAAAAAUGAGAAGAAGAAAAAUGACAAAAGAACAAAGAGGCUAUCCUACUGUUGAUAUAGUAGAAGUAUUGAGGUGUUGGACGCAUGCCCUACAACGUGUUCAUAAGCAAUCCCUUCAAUUGAGUACAAAGAUGAAGUUGUGAGAUGUUUAAAGAUAACAAGCAAAUAUGUGACAUGAGUGAUUAUGGUUUAAACAAUGCCACCGAUUUUGAAGAAAGCUGAAAUUGAAAUAGCAAUUGCAGAUUAUAUAAUGUCGCCUGUAGUGCUUCUGAUAUAGUCCUAAUUUGAACUGUCAUAGAGUCCAAUAGAUGGAUUAGCGAUGUCUUAAAAUUUGAGAAUUAGCUUAGCAAUUUUUUUCAUCAAUAUUAAUUGUAAAUAUGCAUAUUUGUGGUAAUGCAUCUUCAUUAUGUUA